GAUGAACGCUAGCGACAGGCUUAACACAUGCAAGUCGAGGGGCAGCGGGGGCGGAAGCUUGCUUUCGCCCGCCGGCGACCGGCGCACGGGUGAGUAACACGUAUGCAACCUGGCCGCCACAGGGGGAUAACCCGCGGAAACGCGGCCUAAUACCCCGUGACGCCACCGGAGGGCAUCCUCCGGUGGCCAAAGGAGUGAUCCGGUGGCGGAUGGGCAUGCGGCGCAUUAGCUAGACGGCGGGGUGACGGCCCACCGUGGCGACGAUGCGUAGGGGUUCUGAGAGGAAGGCCCCCCACACUGGGACUGAGACACGGCCCAG
rnacentral:rRNA from 1 species